rnacentral:lncRNA from 1 species
GGGGAACACAGAGAUACAGGAUAAAGACAGUAUGGUUGUCUGUAUGGGGAACACAGAGAUACAGUGUCUGUAUGGGGAUAAAGACAGUAUGUAUGGGGAUAAAGACAGUAUGGUGUCUGUAUGGGAUAAGGACAGUAUGGUGUCUGUAUGGGAAUAAGACAGUAUGGUGUCUGUAUGGGGAUAAAGACAGUAUGGUUGCCUGUAUGGGGCUAAAGAGAUACAGGAUAACGACAGUAUGGUGUCUGUAUGGGGAUAAAGACAGUAUGGUGCCUGUAUGGGGAUGAAAGACAGUAUGGUGUCUGUAUGGGGAUAAAGACAGUAUGGUGUCUGUAUGGGGAUAAAGACAGUAUGGUGUCUGUAUGGGGAUAAAGACAGUAUGGUGCCUGUAUGGGGAUAAAGACAGUAUGGUGCCUGUAUGGGGAUAAAGACAGUAUGGUGUCCUGUAUGGGGAUAAAGACAGUAUGGUGCCGUAUGGGGAUAAAGACAGGUAUGGUGUCUGUAUGGGGAUAAAGACAGUAUGGUGUCUGUAUGGGGAUAAAGGACAGUAUGGUGCCUGUAUGGGGAUAAAGACAGUAUGGUGUCUUUAUGGGAUAAAGACAGUAUGGUGUCUGUAUGGGGAUAAAGACAGUAUG